rnacentral:ncRNA from 1 species
CGGGGGCGGCGUAUUAACAGUUGUGCAGAGUUUCAUGCGGGGGUGUCGGGAUGUCGUGUCAGGGCAUCGUGUCGGGAUGUCGGGGCAUCAUGUUGGGGUGUCAGGGUGUCGUCGUUGUCUUCUUCUUCUUCUUCUCAAAAUUAUUUGUACUUUUCUGUCUCUGGCCUUAUUAAGCUUAAGAAUCUUACUUAAUAAGACAAAAUAGCCUCCUAAACAUAUGUCUAGCAAUUGGUUUGAACUUUUUCUCUCCUCGGGGUUGCCAAGUUCUGAUCAGAGUCAAUGAUUCAGCUACCCUGGUACUCCAUGCCGUAAAUGAUGAGUGUUCGCCCUUGGUCUACGCGGAUCAGGGGCCUAGCUAAUGCGUUAAAUACUCCGCAUGGGGAGUACGAUCGCAAGACCAAAACUCAAAGGAAUUGACGAGGGUCUGCACAAGCGGUGGAGCAUAUUGUUUAAUUUGAUACAAUACGCAAAAUCUUACCAGCCCUUGACAAUUGCACAGAACAACCAUCACAUGGAUCCAGCUAUAAGGAAUCACCCGUGAGCGAGGGCAAGUCUCAGUUACGGUAGGAAUGUAAUACACCAGUCAUAACUCUGGUCUGGUCCCUACUUCCCUAAGUAGUUAGUGAAACUUCCGCCUACGUACCCUUUACGCCCAGUCAUUUCGAAGAACACUUGCCCC